CUGUUAAAAUUUCAUCCAUUUGUACUUGUAAAAAUUGGCGUGGCUAAUAAAAUAACCAGACAAUGACACGAGGCAUGCCACAUAUAUCUCAUGCUGACGUACAAAGAUCAAUUUUUAACAAUAAAAAUGGAUAAAAGUUUCACAA
rfam:Gossypium arboreum cultivar AKA8401 contig_14_5, whole genome shotgun sequence.